GAUGAACGCUGGCGGCGUGCCUAAUACAUGCAAGUCGAGCGAACAGACGAGGAGCUUGCUCCUCUGACGUUAGCGGCGGAUGGGUGAGUAACACGUGGAUAACCUACCUAUAAGACUGGGAUAACUUCGGGAAACCGGAGCUAAUACCGGAUAAUAUAUUGAACCGCAUGGUUCAAUAGUGAAAGACGGUUUUGCUGUCACUUAUAGAUGGAUCCGCGCCGCAUUAGCUAGUUGGUAAGGUAACGGCUUACCAAGGCAACGAUGCGUAGCCGACCUGAGAGGGUGAUCGGCCACACUGGAACUGAGACACGGUCCAGACUCCUACGGGAGGCAGCAGUAGGGAAUCUUCCGCAAUGGGCGAAAGCCUGACGGAGCAACGCCGCGUGAGUGAUGAAGGUCUUCGGAUCGUAAAACUCUGUUAUUAGGGAAGAACAAAUGUGUAAGUAACUAUGCACGUCUUGACGGUACCUAAUCAGAAAGCCACGGCUAACUACGU
rnacentral:rRNA from 1 species